rnacentral:rRNA from 1 species
UUGACCUCGGAUCAGGUAGGAAUACCCGCUGAACUUAAGCAUAUCAAUAAGCGGAGGAAAAGAAACCAACAGGGAUUGCCCCAGUAACGGCGAGUGAAGCGGCAACAGCUCAAAUUUGAAAUCUGGCCCCAGGCCCGAGUUGUAAUUUGCAGAGGAUGCUUUUGGCGCGGUGCCUUCCGAGUUCCCUGGAACGGGACGCCAUAGAGGGUGAGAGCCCCGUACGGUUGGACACCAAGUCUUUGUAAAGCUCCUUCGACGAGUCGAGUAGUUUGGGAAUGCUGCUCAAAAUGGGAGGUAUAUUUCUUCUAAAGCUAAAUAUUGGCCAGAGACCGAUAGCGCACAAGUAGAGUGAUCGAAAGAUGAAAAGCACUUUGAAAAGAGGGUUAAACAGCACGUGAAAUUGUUAAAAGGGAAGCGCUUAUGACCAGACUUGCGCCCGGUGAAUCACCCAGCUCUCGCGGCUGGGGCACUUUGCCGGCUCAGGCCAGCAUCAGCUCGCUGUCGGGGACAAAAGCUUCGGGAACGUAGCUCUCUUCGGGGAGUGUUAUAGCCCGUUGCAUAAUACCCUUCGGCGGGCUGAGGUACGCGCUCCGCAAGGAUGCUGGCGUAAUGGUCAUCAGCGACCCGUCUUGAAACACGGACCAAGGAGUCAACCUUAUGUGCGAGUGUUUGGGUGUUAAACCCCUACGCGUAAUGAAAGUGAACGCAGGUGAGAGCUUCGGCGCAUCAUCGACCGAUCCUGAUGUUCUCGGAUGGAUUUGAGUAAGAGCAUAUAGGGUUGGACCCGAAAGAAGGUGAACUAUGCGUGUAUAGGGUGAAGCCAGAGGAAACUCUGGUGGAGGCUCGCAGCGGUUCUGACGUGCAAAUCGAUCGUCAAAUAUGCGCAUGGGGGCGAAAGACUAAUCGAACCUUCUAGUAGCUGGUUUCCGCCGAAGUUUCCCUCAGGAUAGCAGUGUUGAACUCAGUUUUAUGAGGUAAAGCGAAUGAUUAGGGACUCGGGGGCGCUAUAUUGCCUUCAUCCAUUCUCAAACUUUAAAUAUGUAAGAAGCCCUUGUUACUUAGUUGAACGUGGGCAUUCGAAUGUAUCAACACUAGUGGGCCAUUUUUGGUAAGCAGAACUGGCGAUGCGGGAUGAACCGAACGCGAGGUUAAGGUGCCAGAGUAGACGCUCAUCAGACACCACAAAAGGUGUUAGUACAUCUUGACAGCAGGACGGUGGCCAUGGAAGUCGGAAUCCGCUAAGGACUGUGUAACAACUCACCUGCCGAAUGUACUAGCCCUGAAAAUGG